rnacentral:misc_RNA from 1 species
GAUGAAGAACGCAGCGAAAUGCGAUAAGUAGUGUGAAUUGCAGAAUUCAGUGAAUCAUCGAAUCUUUGAACGCACAUUGCGCCCUUUGGUAUUCCAAAGGGCAUGCCUGUUCGAGCGUCAUUUGUACCCUCGAGCUUUGCUUGGUGUUGGGCGUCUUGUCUCUAGCUUUGCUGGAGACUCGCCUUAAAGUAAUUGGCAGCCGGCCUACUGGUUUCGGAGCGCAGCACAAGUCGCACUCUCUAUCAGCAAAGGUCUAGCAUCCAUUAAGCCUUUUUUUCAACUUUUGACCUCGGAUCAGGUAGGGAUACCCGCUGAACUUAAGCAUAUCAAUAAGCGGAGGA